rnacentral:tRNA from 1 species
GUCAAGUUAGUUUAUAUAAAAUGUCAGCCUGUGGAUUUGAAGAUGAAAAUACUGUUUCACUUGACC